GCCCGGAUGGUCUAGUGGUAUGAUUCUCGCUUCGGGAAAGGUAUCCUCCCCUACUAUUUACUAGUAGAUGUACUUGACACCUGUUAAGAAAUGCGAGAGGUCCCGCGUUCGAAUCGCGGUUCGGGCC